rnacentral:rRNA from 1 species
GGGUUGUGAGGUUAAGCGACUAAGCGUACACGGUGGAUGCCCUGGCAGUCAGAGGCGAUGAAGGGCGUGCUAAUCUGCGAUAAGCGCCGGUAAGGUGAUAUGAACCGUUAUAACCGGCGAUACCCGAAUGGGGAAACCCAGUGUGACUCGUCACACUAUCAUUAACUGAAUCCAUAGGUUAAUGAGGCGAACCGGGGGAACUGAAACAUCUAAGUACCCCGAGGAAAAGAAAUCAACCGAGAUUCCCCCAGUAGCGGCGAGCGAACGGGGAGGAGCCCAGAGCCUGAAUCAGCAUGUGUGUUAGUGGAAGCGUCUGGAAAGGCGCGCGAUACAGGGUGACAGCCCCGUACACAAAAGCGCAUGUGCUGUGAGCUCGAUGAGUAGGGCGGGACACGUGGUAUCCUGUCUGAAUAUGGGGGGACCAUCCUCCAAGGCUAAAUACUCCUGACUGACCGAUAGUGAACCAGUACCGUGAGGGAAAGGCGAAAAGAACCCCGGCGAGGGGAGUGAAAAAGAACCUGAAACCGUGUACGUACAAGCAGUGGGAGCCCCACCACUAAGCCAGUGGUGAACUCCACAUACGCAUCCUUUGCUGAGGAUACGGUUAACGGAGCGAAAGCGACGUUCAACCUCAAAAGAAGCAGAGGGGGCUUAGUGGUGGGGUGACUGCGUACCUUUUGUAUAAUGGGUCAGCGACUUAUAUUCUGUAGCAAGGUUAACCGAAUAGGGGAGCCGGAGGGAAACCGAGUCUUAACCGGGCGUUAAGUUGCAGGGUAUAGACCCGAAACCCGGUGAUCUAGCCAUGGGCAGGUUGAAGGUUGGGUAACACUAACUGGAGGACCGAACCGACUAAUGUUGAAAAAUUAGCGGAUGACCUGUGGCUGGGGGUGAAAGGCCAAUCAAACCGGGAGAUAGCUGGUUCUCCCCGAAAGCUAUUUAGGUAGCGCCUCGUGAAUUCAUCUCCGGGGGUAGAGCACUGUUUCGGCUAGGGGGCCAUCCCGGCUUACCAACCCGAUGCAAACUGCGAAUACCGGAGAAUGUUAUCACGGGAGACACACGGCGGGUGCUAACGUCCGUCGUGAAGAGGGAAACAACCCAGACCGCCAGCUAAGGUCCCAAAGUCAUGGUUAAGUGGGAAACGAUGUGGGAAGGCCCAGACAGCCAGGAUGUUGGCUUAGAAGCAGCCAUCAUUUAAAGAAAGCGUAAUAGCUCACUGGUCGAGUCGGCCUGCGCGGAAGAUGUAACGGGGCUAAACCAUGCACCGAAGCUGCGGCAGCGAACGUAUCACUUAAAGCGAUUCAGCGGAUGACGAUUGACGGAGCGAAGCGACGUCAAAGCGUAUACAAAGUCGAGUCGGUUUAAGGAUACGUUCGUUGGGUAGGGGAGCGUUCUGUAAGCCUGUGAAGGUGUGUCGUGAGGCAUGCUGGAGGUAUCAGAAGUGCGAAUGCUGACAUAAGUAACGAUAAAGCGGGUGAAAAGCCCGCUCGCCGGAAGACCAAGGGUUCCUGUCCAACGUUAAUCGGGGCAGGGUGAGUCGACCCCUAAGGCGAGGCCGAAAGGCGUAGUCGAUGGGAAACGGGUUAAUAUUCCCGUACUUGGUGUUACUGCGAAGGGGGGACGGAGAAGGCUAUGUUGGCCGGGCGACGGUUGUCCCGGUUUAAGCGUGUAGGCUGGUUUUCCAGGCAAAUCCGGAAAAUCAAGGCUGAGGCGUGAUGACGAGGCACUACGGUGCUGAAGCAACAAAUGCCCUGCUUCCAGGAAAAGCCUCUAAGCAUCAGGUAACAUCAAAUCGUACCCCAAACCGACACAGGUGGUCAGGUAGAGAAUACCAAGGCGCUUGAGAGAACUCGGGUGAAGGAACUAGGCAAAAUGGUGCCGUAACUUCGGGAGAAGGCACGCUGACACGUAGGUGAAGUGAUUUACUCACGGAGCUGAAGUCAGUCGAAGAUACCAGCUGGCUGCAACUGUUUAUUAAAAACACAGCACUGUGCAAACACGAAAGUGGACGUAUACGGUGUGACGCCUGCCCGGUGCCGGAAGGUUAAUUGAUGGGGUCAGCGCAAGCGAAGCUCCUGAUCGAAGCCCCGGUAAACGGCGGCCGUAACUAUAACGGUCCUAAGGUAGCGAAAUUCCUUGUCGGGUAAGUUCCGACCUGCACGAAUGGCGUAAUGAUGGCCAGGCUGUCUCCACCCGAGACUCAGUGAAAUUGAACUCGCUGUGAAGAUGCAGUGUACCCGCGGCAAGACGGAAAGACCCCGUGAACCUUUACUAUAGCUUGACACUGAACAUUGAGCCUUGAUGUGUAGGAUAGGUGGGAGGCUUUGAAGCGUGGACGCCAGUCUGCGUGGAGCCGACCUUGAAAUACCACCCUUUAAUGUUUGAUGUUCUAACGUGGACCCGUAAUCCGGGUUGCGGACAGUGUCUGGUGGGUAGUUUGACUGGGGCGGUCUCCUCCUAAAGAGUAACGGAGGAGCACGAAGGUUGGCUAAUCCUGGUCGGACAUCAGGAGGUUAGUGCAAUGGCAUAAGCCAGCUUGACUGCGAGCGUGACGGCGCGAGCAGGUGCGAAAGCAGGUCAUAGUGAUCCGGUGGUUCUGAAUGGAAGGGCCAUCGCUCAACGGAUAAAAGGUACUCCGGGGAUAACAGGCUGAUACCGCCCAAGAGUUCAUAUCGACGGCGGUGUUUGGCACCUCGAUGUCGGCUCAUCACAUCCUGGGGCUGAAGUAGGUCCCAAGGGUAUGGCUGUUCGCCAUUUAAAGUGGUACGCGAGCUGGGUUUAGAACGUCGUGAGACAGUUCGGUCCCUAUCUGCCGUGGGCGCUGGAGAACUGAGGGGGCUGCUCCUAGUACGAGAGGACCGGAGUGGACGCAUCACUGGUGUUCGGGUUGUCAUGCCAAUGGCACUGCCCGGUAGCUAAAUGCGGAAGAGAUAAGUGCUGAAAGCAUCUAAGCACGAAACUUGCCCCGAGAUGAGUUCUCCCUGAGACUUAGAGUCUCCUGAAGGAACGUUGAAGACGACGACGUUGAUAGGCCGGGUGUGUAAGCGCAGCGAUGCGUUGAGCUAACCGGUACUAAUGAACCGUGAGGCUUAACCUUACAACGCCGAAG